CGACAUUAAAACAAACCAAGCAGACAAAAAUAUACGAGGAAAGAGGUUAACUUAGAAUCAUUUUUUGACCUCGCGUGUAGUUUCAAAUAAAUACUGUUACGGUGCCACUGCCACCUUGACCUCCUGAUGCAUAUACCUUCAAGUCUGCAACAACACUAUCAAAGAUAUUCCAUCUGAACAGAGUAGUUUGUGCUUUUAAGAUGUGGAUCACUGGGUGAGGAUAAAAUUGAAAGAACAUAUCAAGUAAACAAACCCAUACCUUUUGCAUGUAAGGAACAUAGCGAAGUAGACUGAACAAAUCGUGUAAUGAUCCGAAACGACUUAUCCACUUUCCAACAAUAUUAGAAGUGGUGCUUGAGUUCGCUGUGCAGAGGUACGACCACGCCUUCGCUGAAUUGAAUCACCUAGUUGCUUGUGUAGCACCUACUAAUUUAGCCAUCCAAGUAAUGUGUAUCUUCAGAUGUCUGAAACUAAAGAAAACACAUUAUCAAUAUUCCCCAAAACAAAUCUCUAGGCUGUACGUCCCAGAUUUCAGUAGUACAACACAACAUAAAAAUCCUCAAAAGCAAAAAACCUACUCUCUUCUUGCUCCUUCCAUUACCUGCGACCAGCCUGCAAUAGUUCCUCUUCUCCACAACUUCAUCAACAAUAGAGGCUGUCCAAUUAGAUACAAACUUUCUUUGAUGUACCGCCUUGUCCACUGCAUUGGAUUUCAGUUUUCGUUGGGCAUAGAAUGCGAGAUUGGAAGGAUGUUCUGGUGCAGUGGAUAUUAAAAGGUUCCAGAGCAGGGAUCAGGGAGAGGAUUCCUAUUCGCAAAAAAAAGAGGCUUCCUAGAUCGUUUUACACGGAGGACACGUGAAUAGUGGAAAACAAUUAGGACGAGCACCGGAGGAGGACGAACGGGGCUACAGAUGUGGAUAAUGCAUUGGUACCACGAGGGGCUACGGAUGUGGAACGAGGGAUGUGGUUGCCUGUGCUUGUUCAUGGCCGUACCUUGGAUUCACCGUUGGUCGCAGGGGAGCGGUGACGAGGGGUGGCGCACCGGGAUGCAGGGUUGCAGGGGUGGUGACGAGGGGUGGCGCGCUAGGACGGAGGGUCACAGGGCAGCAGUGAGGAGCGGCGCCGGGAGAGAGGAUCGCAGGCGAGUGGUGAGGGGCGGCAUGCAGGGAUGCAGGUAGGUCGCAGCCGCGCAAAGGAGUGGCAACGACUGACGAGCGGCGGCGGCCGAGGUGGGAGGGCUCGAGAGGAGUAGGGGAGGCGGAGGAAAGGGAACGACCUAGG
rnacentral:lncRNA from 1 species